AGUGAACGCUGGCGGUAGGCCUAACACAUGCAAGUCGAACGGCAGCACCGUAUGAGCUUGCUCUUACGGGUGGCGAGUGGCGGACGAGUGAGGAAUACAUCGGAAUUUACUUGUUCGCGAGGGAUAACGUAGGGAAACUUACGCUAAUAACGCAUACGACCUACGGGUGAAAGCAGGGGGUCUUCGGACCCUGCGUGCUUGAAUGAGCCGAUGUCGGAUUAGCUAGUUGGCGGGGUAAAGGCCUACCAAGGCGACGAUCCGUAGCUGGUCUGCGAGGGUGAGCGGCCACAGUGGAACUGGGACUGGGUCCAGACUCCGACUGGAGGGAGCGGUAGGGGAGAUUGGACUAGGGGCGCAAGCCGGAUCCAGACGUACCGCGUGGGUGAAGGAGGCCUUCGGGUUGGAAAGCCCUUUUGUUGGGAAAGAAAAGCAGCAGGUUAAUACCCCGCUGUUCUGACGGUACCCAAAGAAUAAGCACCGGCUAACUUCGUG
rnacentral:rRNA from 1 species